CAGGUGCUGCACGGCUGUCGUCAGCUCGUGUCGUGAGAUGUUGGGUUAAGUCCCGCAACGAGCGCAACCCACGUAUUUAGUUGCUAACGGUUCGGCCGAGCACUCUAAAUAGACUGCCUUCGUAAGGAGGAGGAAGGUGUGGACGACGUCAAGUCAUCAUGGCCCUUAUGCCCAGGGCGACACACGUGCUACAAUGGCAUAUACAAUGAGACGCAAUACCGCGAGGUGGAGCAAAUCUAUAAAAUAUGUCCCAGUUCGGAUUGUUCUCUGCAACUCGAGAGCAUGAAGCCGGAAUCGCUAGUAAUCGUAGAUCAGCCAUGCUACGGUGAAUACGUUCCCGGGUCUUGUACUCACCGCCCGUCACACCAUGGGAGUUGAUUUCACUCGAAGCCGGAAUACUAAACUAGUUACCGUCCACAGUGGAAUCAGCGACUGGGGUGAAGUCGUAACAAGGUAACCGUAGGAGAACCUGCGGUUGGAUCACCUCCUUU
rnacentral:rRNA from 1 species